rnacentral:rRNA from 1 species
GAUGUUAGCGGCGGACGGGUGAGUAACACGUGGGUAACCUGCCUGUAAGACUGGGAUAACUCCGGGAAACCGGGGCUAAUACCGGAUGCUUGUUUGAACCGCAUGGUUCAAAUAUAAAAGGUGGCUUCGGCUACCACUUACAGAUGGACCCGCGGCGCAUUAGCUAGUUGGUGAGGUAACGGCUCACCAAGGCAACGAUGCGUAGCCGACCUGAGAGGGUGAUCGGCCACACUGGGACUGAGACACGGCCCAGACUCCUACGGGAGGCAGCAGUAGGGAAUCUUCCGCAAUGGACGAAAGUCUGACGGAGCAACGCCGCGUGAGUGAUGAAGGUUUUCGGAUCGUAAAGCUCUGUUGUUAGGGAAGAACAAGUACCGUUCGAAUAGGGCGGUACCUUGACGGUACCUAACCAGAAAGCCACGGCUAACUACGUGCCAGCAGCCGCGGUAAUACGUAGGUGGCAAGCGUUGUCCGGAAUUAUUGGGCGUAAAGGGCUCGCAGGCGGUUUCUUAAGUCUGAUGUGAAAGCCCCCGGCUCAACCGGGGAGGGUCAUUGGAAACUGGGGAACUUGAGUGCAGAAGAGGAGAGUGGAAUUCCACGUGUAGCGGUGAAAUGCGUAGAGAUGUGGAGGAACACCAGUGGCGAAGGCGACUCUCUGGUCUGUAACUGACGCUGAGGAGCGAAAGCGUGGGGAGCGAACAGGAUUAGAUACCCUGGUAGUCCACGCCGUAAACGAUGAGUGCUAAGUGUUAGGGGGUUUCCGCCCCUUAGUGCUGCAGCUAACGCAUUAAGCACUCCGCCUGGGGAGUACGGUCGCAAGACUGAAACUCAAAGGAAUUGAC